rnacentral:rRNA from 1 species
AGUGAACGCUGGCGGUAGGCCUAACACAUGCAAGUCGAACGGAAGCACAGUAAGAGCUUGCUCUUAAGGGUGGCGAGUGGCGGACGGGUAAGGCAUACAUCGGCUUCUACUUUUUCGUGGGGGAUAACGUAGGGCCACUUACGCUACUACCGCAUACGACCUACGGGUGAAUGCAGAGGAUCUUCGGACCUUGCGCGAUUGAAUGAGCCGAUGUCGGAUUAGCUAGUUGGCUGGGUAAAGGCACACCAAGGCGACGAUCCGUAGCUGGUCUGAGAGGAUGAUCAGCCACACUGGAACUGAGACACGGUCCAGACUCCUACGGGAGGCAGCAGUGGGGAAUAUUGGACAAUGGGCGCAGGCCUGAUCCAGCCAUGCCGCGUGAGUGAAGAAGGCCUUCGGGUUGUAAAGCCCUUUUAUUGGGAAAGAAAAGCAGCAUGUUAAUACCUCGCUGUUCUGACGGUACCCAAAGAGUAAGCACCGGCUAACUUCGUG